ACGCCGCUGAUUGGCUGGCACGUUGCCAGAACUCUGUCAAUCACCGAGUGUAAACAAGGCUCUGAUUGGCUGCUGGCCAGUCCGCACUGGGCUGCCUGAAAAAAGCAAUUACUGCCCCUGCGGUUUCAAGGCGGCCCCGCGCUGAACGAUGAAAGGAGAUAAGGAGGGGCGGUUUCAAGGCGACCCCCCCACGGCGAACCCCGUUGGCCCCAGAGCAAAAGGAGAGUCAAGAGUGACUAAAUCAAAGGGAAUACGAAAAUGGAGGAGAGAACGGCACCAAGGACCGGAAAACAGCUAUCGCUCUGCUUCGGGGAGCUCCUUCUCACAAACACGGAGAGAAAAGUUUGUGUCGACAAAGGAGACGGUGGACACAGAGCGAUAGGAACCACAACAAACAGCAAAGGCACAGAAGAAGAAGAAGAAGAAGAAGAAGAAGAAGAAGAAGAAGAAGAAAUGAUGGAGUCAUAAGUUGACUGGACACAAAAACAACACGACCUUUUCUUCUCUGUGUGCGCAGGACAGAUGCUGCUAUUUCUGAUCGCCCUGACACACAGACUCAGGACGGAUCAUGCAUUGUGAAAUGCUUGGCAUGAAAAAAAAACAAAACGCUGUACUCCUCCUUACAGCGCUUUGAAAGACUCCAAACUGUUAGAUGAGGAUGAGGGUGCAGUGGAAGAAGAUGAUGAUUGUGAUAUUGAUGGUGGCGAGGAAAAAAGCUUGGGCAACAAAUUAGUGGCUGUCACACAGCCAUAUAUCCGGCUGUAACCACCACCAGGCCUGUAUGGAUGAGAUGAAAGCAUCCAUUUAUGGACCAUCAAAACACGCAGGUGGAGGCUUUAAUUAUCAUUUGAACAUAAACAGCCAUAGCGUGCCGUCCCGCGCGUGUUUGCACUGUAAGCUUAUGUAGUUCCUAUUCAAACAGCAGUGGGUUAUUUCAUCUUUUCUGAACAGAGCAGAUCGUGAAGUGUUGAUAUCAUACACAAUGGGAUUAAAUAUAUGGUGUGCCUGAUUUUGUGUAUUUGUUUCCCAACAUUUCUACAACGCCUGCCCCUCUGCCUCGGCCACAACGUGCGCACAAUGGCACCGUGUGCGCGCAUAUACUUUCAUCAAAAUUAAAGACACCGUUUUGGGGUUUUUUUUUUCUGCUUUGGUCCAAGCAGCGCACUGAGAUCAUAAAACAUGUGUUGUUAAAUUGGAAAAGCUCCCCAAAAUAAAGUUAAAAGUGUACGGGCCAAAGGGUCAACAGGUCAGCUGACAUUCUGCAAUUCAUCUCUCAAGGAUUUUAAGAAACCCAAUUGAUU